UGUCCGGAAUCCCGAAGAGAUUUGGGAGUGCUCGCAAGAGAACCGGAACACAGGUGCUGCAUGGCUGUCGUCAGCUCGUGUCGUGAGAUGUUGGGUUAAGUCCCGCAACGAGCGCAACCCUUGUCAUUAGUUGCCAUCAUUUGGUUGGGCACUCUAAUGAGACUGCCGGUGACAAACCGGAGGAAGUGGGGAUGACGUCAAGUCCUCAUGGCCCUUAUGGUAGGGCUUCACACGUCAUACAAUGGUCGGUACAGAGGGUUGCCAACCCGCGAGGGGGAGCUAAUCCCACAAAGCCGAUCGUAGUCCGGAUCGCAGUCUGCAACUCGACUGCGUGAAGUCGGAAUCGCUAGUAAUCGUGGAUCAGCAUGUCACGGUGAAUACGUUCCCGGGUCUU
rnacentral:rRNA from 1 species